ACUUUGGACCUGGUGGCACACGUGCACACACACACACACACACACAAAACUAACUAACUAAGUAAAUAAAUAUGAAUACAUUUAAAACUUGGACCUGGGUAUUUUCGACACUUGCAUGGAUAUUUUAUCUCUGACAGGUACAUGUGGAUUCUUCGGCUCCAUCAGUUUGGUUAGCUUUCUCUGCUGCCCUGUAAUAAGUGCUUAGUGUCCCAUUGCUGAGAUUAGAGUCAGUUUGUUGCAUAGACUGUGGACCCGGAGCCCUGCAGGGAUGACUAAUCACCACUCCAUAGGAGCUUGCCAGCUUCCUGACUGUGUCGCCACAGGACAGACACUGCCUAUCAGGUCACUCGGGGAGCUUACUUAACAGGAGCCUUAAAGGUGGCAUCUGUGUCGCUGUUGGGUCAAACCUCUUCACUCGUAAAUGUCAACGUUAGUCUACAUUUGGCUGAAUCAACUUAUUUCUUUCUAAAAAAGGAUUUCUCAUAUCGAAUGCGUAAAACUGUAAAAGUCUUUGUAAGAGACCUCUGUGAGAAGCAGAGGUUCCCAUUGCUGAUGUCACAUUGUGCUUUGAAAAACAAACAAACAAACAAACAACAAACAAACAAACUCACAACUCUAUCCAAGAUUAUUGGAGUGGAGAAAGC
rnacentral:lncRNA from 1 species